CCUACGGGAGGCAGCAGUAGGGAAUCUUUCACAAUGGGCGAAAGCCUGAUGGAGCAACGCCGCGUGCAGGAUGAAGGCCUUCGGGUUGUAAACUGCUUUUAUAAGCGAGAAAUAUGAUGGUAACUUAUGAAUAAGGAUCGGCUAACUACGUGCCAGCAGCCGCGGUCAUACGUAGGAUCCGAGCAUUAUCCGGAGUGACUGGGUGUAAAGAGUUUCGUAGGUGUCAUAAUAAGUAGCUAGUGAAAUCUGGUGGCGCAACCAUUCAGACUAUUAGCUAAACUGUUAAGCUCGAGACCGUUAGGGGUAACUGGAAUUUCUAGUGUAGGAGUGAAAUCCGUAGAUAUUAGAAGGAACACCAAUAGCGUAGGCAGGUUGCUGGGACGGUUCUGACACUAAGGCACGAAAGCGUAGGGAGCAAACGGGAUUAGAUACCCGAGUAGUC
rnacentral:rRNA from 1 species